rnacentral:rRNA from 1 species
CCACCAAGACGAUGAUCUGUAUCCGGCCUGAGAGGGCGCACGGACACACUGGAACUGAAACACGGUCCAGACUCCUACGGGAGGCAGCAGUGGGGAAUUUUGCGCAAUGGGGGAAACCCUGACGCAGCAACGCCGCGUGGAGGAUGAAAUCCCUUGGGAUGUAAACUCCUUUCGAUCGGGAAGAUAAUGACGGUACCGAGAGAAGAAGCCCCGGCUAACUUCGUGCCAGCAGCCGCGGUAAUACGAGGGGGGCAAGCGUUGUUCGGAAUUAUUGGGCGUAAAGGGUGCGUAGGCGGUUUGAUAAGUCACAUGUGAAAUCUUCGGGCUCAACCCGAAGUCUGCAUGCGAAACUGUCGGGCUUGAGUAUUGGAGAGGUGAGUGGAAUUUCCGGUGUAGCGGUGAAAUGCGUAGAUAUCGGAAGGAACACCUGUGGCGAAAGCGGCUCACUGGACAAUAACUGACGCUGAUGCACGAAAGCUAGGGGAGCAAACAGGAUUAGAUACCCUGGUAGUCCUAGCCCUAAACGAUGAUUGCUUGAUGUGGUGGGUACCCAAUCCCGCCGUGUCGAAGCUAACGCGAUAAGCAAUCCGCCUGGGGAGUACGGUCGCAAGGCUGAAACUCAAAGGAAUGACG